rnacentral:rRNA from 1 species
UGUCCUACAAUCCGUCAGAGCCUCCUUUUCCUCUCCGGAGGAGGGUGGUGAUGGCGUGCCUUUUGAAGAAUGAGCCUGCGAGUCAGGGACAUGUCGCAAGGUUAACCCGUGUGGGGUAGCCGCAGCGAAAGCGAGUCUGAAUAGGGCGACCCACACGCGCAUACGCGCGUGUGAAUAGUGGCGUGUUCUGGACCCGAAGCGGAGUGAUCUACCCAUGGCCAGGGUGAAGCGCGGGUAAGACCGCGUGGAGG